AAAACAGAGAAAGCUCCGCUCCAUUCUCGUUGAAAAAAGAAGAGAAAGCUCCGCUUCAUGGCUGUUGGCUCUAUAUCCAUUGAAAAAAGCAGAGCCGUUGAGAAAAGCUUCAUGGCCGAUGGCCGUUGAUAAAAGCUUCAUGGCCGUUGGCUCCAUAGCCAUUGAAAAAAACUCCAUGGCUUUCACUGCUUAUAUAUAUAUGGCUGGGUGAUCUGAGAAACCGGCAGACUGUUUGUUUAGUUUCCUGCAAGUUCCCUCGCCCGCGUGGAGAAGCCCUUCCCGUGGUGAUGGCGAUGGCGACUUCAACAGUGAGGGCUUGUCCGAGAGAGUGAUGGCGCCCAUGCUUCGACAUUUGUUUAAUUUGUCGCCCAUGCUUCAAGAUUUCCUCACCAGAAUGCGCAAUAUGACCUGUGCCCUGCAUCCGCUCCGACGCCACAGAGCUCAUCCGCAUCGCCAAUCAUCUGCGGAGGAAUGUUAGAUAGAAGAAUGCUUAGCCAAUAUAAGAGAGGGCAGAAACCAGGUUACUGAAACUUAAAGCUCUGAAAAUGGGAGCAUGUUGAAUGCAUUGCUAGAGAUGGCGUAGCUUCUGGAAGACUGCAAUGGUUCAGGCCAGAUAUGUAGAUAGUAUAAAGCAGGCAUUUAGCAAAUACCUGCUUAUGCUAUGUAUGCUACAUCUAAUUCCUCAUUUCUUUUUGUGAUUACAUGGAUGAUACAAAGAUAAUAAAGUUCCUCAUUGCAAAUUGAAUAUACAACGUCCAACAAAUAGGUGAAUGAAUCUUGCUAAAAGUGGAGUGAAUUUUAAAAUAUAUUAAAACUUAUCAUAAAACAAAAUAAAAUUUAUUGUGAACUUUUUUGUAUAUAUUUUUAAUAGUAAUGUUAAUGUUAAUUUACAAUUUUGUGUUGCAUUUAAAUUGAUAUUAACAGUUUGAUUGUUGAAGUCAGAUUCACUUCAGUGACUUAAUGAAUGUUUAGAAAGUUCUGUUUACAUCACAUUCUAUUGUGUUAGUUUUUUUGGUCCAUCAUUCUAUGCUUUUUGUUUCUUUUUUUGUUGCUUUGAUUCUAUUUUUUUUUGGCAUGGCCAUGCCUCCUCUGUUUUUAUUGUCUGAGUUCUAUUUUGAUAUUUUUGGUAUGUAUUUUUCUUUUGUAUUUUUAUGCGUAGAUUGUUUUUAAAAAAGGUUUUAUUGGUAUUUUGUAUGUCUUUUUUUGUGAGUGAUGAUAUUUCAGGUAGUAGUGCGAUGAUGAUGAAGAAGAGAAAAGAAGCAAAACUACAUAUCACAAGCACCAGGGAAUACAACAGGAGAGCAGCCACAUAUUGAUAUUGUCCGGAUCUGGCAUUAUUUGAUUACUAUAUUCAUAAAAUAUUUGCCAUGUCUGUAGACUGACACCUAGAGUGUAGAGUGGUCUGUAGACUGACACACAGAGUGCAGAGUAUCUCAAUUGUUAUUGGAGCCAAGCAGAGCAAAUUUUAUUUUUUACUGUUUCAUUCUUGAAUCAGUUGCUUAGAUUGGUCAACUUAUUUGUAAACUGGUAUGUAUAUAGAUUUGUUGCUUAAUAAAAGAAAUUAUUUAGGAGGGGUUGAAUUGGCCCCCUCCUCAAGGCUGCAGGGAAUGGUCAUUUGUCAUGGUCAUUUUUCCAGCCUGCCGUUUCUGUGUUGAUUUUUAUAUUAUUUUUUGUUGCAGAAAAUAUAUUUUUUAAUUUUUAUUUCAUCAUAUUGAAUUAUUAAUUAUAUAACAUUUUUGAUGUACUGUAAUUAUUUUUCUAUGGAAUUGUGAAUCUAGAUUUUGGGUUCGAACUCCUUAAUAAACUUUGUGGAUCUUUGGCGAACCAGGUCUUAACUUUGAUCAUCGUUGGGAAUGCUCCCAGUUGGAUAGAGAACAUUUUAUAGGGCAAAGUGCUGUUUGAGAAGAUUAGGGCAAUUGUGAUGCUUAAAAUACCUUUGCUUUCUUUUGGGUAGGGUAAUCAGUGAUUUUACUCGAGUUCUUAUGUAUUAUUUGAGAAGAUUAGGUCGAUUGUGAUACCCCAAAUGCGUUUGCGUAGUCUUUUGGGCAGGGAAUGUAGUCAGUAAAAAAUAUGUAUUGUUUUGAGUGGAUUAGGGCAGUUGUGUUACUCAUGCAUUUGGUUGAGUCUCUGUUUGGGUAGCUAAGUAUGCAUCGUAUGAGUGGACCACGACAAUGGAUUACUUAACAGCCUUUGGAUCAGGGUUUGUUUGGGCAGGAGUAAGACAAAUAGGUGAAUUCCCCAAGUUUUUAACUACUCUACAAACUGUAAAUAUGUAUUGUAUGAGUGGCUUAGAGUAAUGGUUUACUCAACAGCCAUUGGAACCUUUGGAACAGUGCUAACCCGUUCUAUAGGCUCAAUAUAUAUUGUUUGGUAAACUUAAUUUACAAGAAGAGCAACCUUUAAGAGAUGAAACACCAUGUUCCAUAGUUAGUACUCUAUAGCUUUAAGCAUAGUUAUAUUUCAAUAAACUUGAAUUUGUCUUUUUAACUGCAUAAAUUUUUUAACUAUUAAUGUUGUGUUAUUAACUGCUUAAUUUUUUUAACUAUUAAUGU